AGGAGACCGCUGCGCAGCGAGAUGGUGCAGCAAUGCCUCCGCCAAUGGCGAUGGUUUUUCGUUCUUCAGGUUCCCUGUUGACGCCACAGGACACCUUAAUGGUAGACUUCCCAUCAGAAUCGCCAGUGUCUCGCAGUCUUCAAGCCUCUCCAGUCUUCAAGUCACCUGUGGCACCUGUGCUUAAACACAGCACACCAAAAUCCAGGACCAGGGCUAAGAUGUUCACACUGCAGUCGUACAAAUCACGCCUUGCUGCAGCUAUUGCCAUGGAUG